UACGUAGGGUGCAAGCGUUGUCCGGAAUUAUUGGGCGUAAAGAGCUCGUAGGCGGUUUGUCGCGUCUGCUGUGAAAACCCGAGGCUCAACCUCGGGCCUGCAGUGGGUACGGGCAGACUAGAGUGCGGUAGGGGAGAUUGGAAUUCCUGGUGUAGCGGUGGAAUGCGCAGAUAUCAGGAGGAACACCGGUGGCGAAGGCGGGUCUCUGGGCCGAUACUGACGCUGAGGCGCGAAAGCGUGGGGAGCAAACAGG
rnacentral:rRNA from 1 species